rnacentral:rRNA from 1 species
AUUGAACGCUGGCGGCAGGCCUAACACAUGCAAGUCGAGCGGAGCGGCGGACGGGUGAGUAAGGCCUAGGCAUCUGCCUGGUAGUGGGGGAUAACUUACUGCUGCGGACGGUAAAAAAGAAUAUUAUCUGCUGAGCAUAGGUCGGAUUAGCUAGUUGGUGGGGUAAAGGCCUACCAAGGCGACGAUCCGUACCUGGUCUGAGAGGAAGAUCAGUCACACGGGAACUGAGACACGGUCCAGACUCCUACGGGAGGCAGCAGUGGGGAAUAUUGUACAAUGGGCGCAAGCCUGAUCCAGCCAUGCCGCGUUUGUGAAGAAGGCCGUAGGAUUGUAAAGCACUUUAAGUUGGGAGGCGUUACCAACAGAAUAAGCACCGGCUAACUUCGUGCCAGCCGCCGCGGUAAUAC